rnacentral:rRNA from 1 species
CCUACGGGUGGCAGCAGUGAGGAAUAUUGGUCAAUGGGCGGGAGCCUGAACCAGCCAAGCCGCGUGAGGGAAGAAGGUACAGCGUAUUGUAAACCUCUUUUGUCAGGGAACAAAGGCGGGGACUAGUCCCUGGAUGAGGGUACCUGAAGAAAAAGCAUCGGCUAACUCCGUGCCAGCAGCCGCGGUAAUACGGAGGAUGCGAGCGUUAUCCGGAUUUAUUGGGUUUAAAGGGUGCGCAGGCGGCCUGUUAAGUCAGCGGUAAAAGCCCGGGGCUCAACCCCGGCGAGCCGUUGAAACUGGCGGGCUGGAGUGGGAGAGAAGUACGCGGAAUGCGCGGUGUAGCGGUGAAAUGCUUAGAUAUCGCGCAGAACCCCGAUUGCGAAGGCAGCGUACCGGCUCCACACUGACGCUGAGGCACGAAAGCGUGGGUAUCGAACAGGAUUAGAUACCCGGGUAGUC